rnacentral:rRNA from 1 species
UACGGGGGGGGCAAGCAUUGUUCGGAAUUACUGGGCGUAAAGGGCUCGUAGGCGGCCAACUAAGUCGGACGUGAAAUCCCUCGGCUUAACCGGGGAACUGCGUCCGAUACUGGAUGGCUUGAGUUUGGGAGAGGGAUGCGGAAUUCCAGGUGUAGCGGUGAAAUGCGUAGAUAUCUGGAGGAACACCGGUGGCGAAGGCGGCAUCCUGGACCAACACUGACGCUGAGGAGCGAAAGCCAGGGGAGCAAACGGG